UGACCUCAGCUCAGUCGUGACUACCCGC
rnacentral:rRNA from 1 species